GACGAACGCUGGCGGCGUGCUUAACACAUGCAAGUCGAACGGUGAAGCGCCUUCCUUUUUGGUGGGUGUGGAUGAGCGGCGAACGGGUGAGGAACACGGGAGUAACCUGCCCCCUUCUUCUGGAUAACCGCAUGAAAGUGCGGCCAAUAAGGGAUAUGCUGGGUCUGUCGCAUGAUGGGUCCGGGAAAGAUAUUGUUUCGGCGGGGGAUGGGCUGCCGCCCUUUCAGCUUUUUGGGGGGGUGAUGGCCUACCAAGGCGGUGACGGGUAGGCGGCCUGUGAGGGUGGACGGUCACACUGGGGCUGAGACACGGCCCCGACUCCUACGGGGGGCAGCAGUGGGGGGUAUAUCGCAAUGGGCGCGAGCCUGAUGCCGCGACAACGCGUGAGCAAUGAAGGCGUUCGGGUUGUGAUCAUCUUUCGCUAGUGAAGCAGGCAUGCCUCGUCUGUGCGUGGAUUGACGGUAGCGGGUGAAGAAGCACCGGCUAACUACGUG
rnacentral:rRNA from 1 species